ensembl:lncRNA
AUGAAAAAGGCGGAGCAGAAAAAAACAGGUGGUGGUCCUGCAGCCCCACAUUACACCCCGGCAGAAGAGCUGGCCCUUGGGCUAAAUGAGAACCGACCCAUUGUAAAGGGCAUCCCUGGGGGCAGCUCUUCCUUAGACCUAAAGCCAGGGACCAGUAACAGCAACACCUUAAUUACAGUUUUACAUAAUACACCAACACUUUUACCUGUUCCCAAGAAAGUGGUGGCUGAAAUGUGUGCAGACAGUGAAGAAACCCUCUCAGAUGACUGUCCUUUGGAGGAAGUACUUGUAAGUGCACAAAAAACUUUAUUUAAUUUAUAG